rnacentral:lncRNA from 1 species
CGUCACUUUCUCUCUCCUCCCUCUCUCUCCUUCGCGCGAUUUGGGGUCGUGCGACCCUUCGCCUUCCAAGGGACGGCCCGGCCACCACAGGCCGAGCCGAUCUCCGCCGUUGGUACCUACGGGUCCACCUUCGUGUCGCCGUCACAACCUGACCGAUCUCAACCCCGGGGCCGCCCUGAGUUGGCCGGAAAACCAUGUUUUCCGACGGAGGUUCCUGCAAAGCCACCCGAACUUCCAGCUCGAAAUUCUCCUUCGUUUCUCCACCAAAUCGAUCGAGUAAGGCAUCAGAGGUCCAGCCGAUCAGCAUGAGGAAGCUUCAAAGGGUCAAAUUAGCUUGGACCAUCUGUGAGUGGACCUUCUUUCAUAAAUCAGAUUUCAUGAAUGACUUGAUGUGCUUUUAUAUGAAUUGAUGUGCUUUUAUAUAAAAUAGAUUUUAUAAAUGAUUUUAUA